GACGAACGCUGGCGGCGCGCUUAACACAUGCAAGUCGAACGGAAAGGCCUGCUUUCCCUUGUGGAUUGCGGGUACUCGAGUGGCGAACGGGUGAGUAACACGUGAGUGAUCUGCCCCCAACUUGGGUAUAAGCCUGGGAAACUGGGUCUAAUUCCCGAUAGGACUGCAGGGUGGUGCCUGUGGUGGAAAACGAUUUUCUAGUGGUUGGGGAUGAGCUCGCGGCCUAUCAGCUUGUUGGUGGGGUAAUGGCCUACCAAGGCGGCGACGGGUAGCCGGCCUGAGAGGGUGGACGGCCCCAUUGGGACUGAGAUACGGCCCAGACUCCUACGGGAGGCAGCAGUGGGGAAUAUUGCACCAUGGGCGGAAGCCUGAUGCAGCGACGCCGCGUGGGGGAUGACGGCCUUCGGGUUGUAAACUCCUUUCGACCGCGAGGAAGCCACCUGGUUGGAAGGGUGGUGACGGUAGUGGUAGAAGAAGCACCGGCUAACUACGUG
rnacentral:rRNA from 1 species